CGACCGAGUUGUAGGCAAAAUUUGGUGCAAAAAUGAGGAAGAUUUUCAUAUUUUUUUGAAUUUUUUGAUUUUUUAAUUAUUUUUCACUCUUUUUUUAUUUCAAGCAUUAUUAGAGUGAAAAGAAACUCAUUGCAACCCAUUGGCAUUAAAAUAAAACAAUUUAAUUUUUUUUGCAAAAUUUCCCAAAAAAAUCGUAAGGGGUAAGCCUUAUGAAAUUUUCGAGUGGAAAAUUUUUUUGAAAUUUUUUUCUGAUUUUUUAUUCUUUUUUUAAUUUAAAGCACUAUUUAAGUGAAAAGAAUCUUAUUGCAACAAAUUCCCAUCAAAAUAUAUCACAUUUAAAAUUUUUGCUACAUUGCUCAAAAAUGAGGAAAAUUUUACAUUUUCUCAAACAGGGUAAGGAACUUGGUUCCUCGAAUAACUUCUGGCACAGACAUCUAAGGGCAUGGCUGUCCAAGAAGAAAAUGUAGCCAUUGGUGCCAUCCAUCGACCACAGGUUAAAGUUUGGCGAUUCGUUGGAUACCGACCGAGUUAUAGGCAAAACUUGGUGCAAAAUUGAAGAAAAUUUUACAUUUUCUCAAACAGGGUAAGGAACUUGAUUCCUCGAAUAACUUCUGGCACAGACAUCUAAGGGCAUGGCUGUCCAAGAAGAAAAUGUAGCCAUUGGUGCCAUCUAUCGACCACAGGUUAAAGAUUGGCGAUUCGUUGGAUACCGACCGAGUUAUAGGCAAAACUUGGUGCAAAAAUGAGGAAAAUUUUCAUAUUUUUUUGAAUUUUUUGAAUUUUUUAUUAUUUUUCACAUUUUUUUUAUUUCAAGCAUUAUUAGAGUGAAAAGAAACUCAUUGCAACCCAUUGGCAUUAAAAUAAAACAAUUUAAUUUUUUUUGCAAAAUUUCCCAAAAAAAUCGUAAGGGGUAAGCCUUAUGAAAUUUUCGAGUGGAAAUUUUUUUGAAAUUUUUUUCUGAUUUUUUAUUCUUUUUUUAAUUUAAAGCACUAUUUAAGUGAAAAGAAACUUAUUGCAACAAAUUCCCAUCAAAAUAUAUCACAUUUAAAAUUUUUGCUACAUUGCUCAAAAAUGAGGAAAAUUUUACAUUUUCUCAAACAGGGUAAGGAACUUGGUUCCUCGAAUAACUUCUGGCACAGACAUCUAAGGGCAUGGCUGUCCAAGAAGAAAAUGUAGCCAUUGGUGCCAUCUAUCGACCACAGGUUGAAGAUUGGCGAUCCGUUGGAUACCGACCGAGUUAUAGGCAAAACUUGGUGCAAAAAUGAAGCAAAUUGUACAUUUUCUCAAACAGGGUAUGGAACCUGGUUCCUCGAAUAACUUCUGGCACAGACAUCUGAGGGCAUGGCCGUCCAAGAAGAAAAUGUAGCCAUUGGUGCCAUCUAUCGACCACAGGUUAAAGUUUGGCGAUUCGUUGGAUACCGACCGAGUUGUAGGCAAAAUUUGGUGCAAAAAUAAGGAAAAUUUUCAUAUUUUUUUGAAUUUUUUGAAUUUUUUAUUAUUUUUCACUCUUUUUCUUAUUUCAAGCAUUAUUAGAGUGAAAAGAAACUCAUUGCAACCCAUUGGCAUUAAAAAAAACAAUUUAAUUUUUUUUGCAAAAUUUCCCAAAAAAAUCGUAAGGGGUAAUCCUUAUGAAAUUUUCGAGUGGAAAAUUUUUUUGAAAUUUUUUUCUGAUUUUUUAUUCUUUUUUUAAUUUAAAGCACUAUUUAAGUGAAAAGAAACUUAUUGCAACAAAUUCCCAUCAAAAUAUAUCACAUUUAAAAUUUUUGCUACAUUGCUCAAAAAUGAGGAAAAUGUUACAUUUUCUCAAACAGGGUAAGGAACUUGGUUCCUCGAAUAACUUCUGGCACAGACAUCUGAGGGCAUGGCCGUCCAAGAAGAAAAUGUAGCCAUUGGUGCCAUCUAUCGACCACAGGUUAAAGUUUGGCGAUCCGUUGGAUACCGACCGAGUUAUAGGCAAAACUUGGUGCAAAAAUGAAGAAAAUUUUACAUUUUCUCAAACAGGGUAAGGAACUUGGUUCCUCGAAUAACUUCUGGCACAGACAUCUGAGGGCAUGGCUGUCCAAGAAGAAAAUUUAGCCAUUGGUGCCAUCUAUCGACCACAGGUUAAAGAUUGGCGAUCCGUUGGAUACCGACCGAGUUAUAGGCAAAACUUGGUGCAAAAAUGAAGAAAAUUUUACAUUUUCUCAAACAGGGUAAGGAACUUGGUUCCUCGAAUAACUUCUGGCACAGACAUCUGAGGGCAUGGCUGUCCAAGAAGAAAAUUUAGCCAUUGGUGCCAUCUAUCGACCACAGGUUAAAGAUUGGCGAUUCGUUGGAUACCGACCGAGUUAUAGGCAAAACUUGGUGCAAAAAUGAGGAAAAUUUUCAUAUUUUUUUGAAUUUUUUGAAUUUUUUAUUAUUUUUCACAUUUUUUUUAUUUCAAGCAUUAUUAGAGUGAAAAGAAACUCAUUGCAACCCAUUGGCAUUAAAAUAAAACAAUUUAAUUUUUUUUUGCAAAAUUUCCCAAAAAAAUCGUAAGGGGUAAGCCUUAUGAAAUUUUCGAGAGGAAAUUUUUUUUGAAAUUUUUUUCUGAUUUUUUAUUCUUUUUUUAAUUUAAAGCACUAUUUAAGUGAAAAGAAACUUAUUGCAACAAAUUCCCAUCAAAAUAUAUCACAUUUAAAAUUUUUGCUACAUUGCUCAAAACUGAGGAAAAUUUUACAUUUUCUCAAACAGGGUAAGGAACUUGGUUCCUCGAAUAACUUCUGGCACAGACAUCUAAGGGCAUGACCGUCCAAGAAGAAAAUGUAGCCAUUGGUGCCAUCUAUCGACCACAGGUUAAAGUUUGGCGAUCCGUUGGAUACCGACUGAGUUAUAGGCAAAACUUGGUGCAAAAAUGAAGAAAAUUUUACAUUUUCUCAAACAGGGUAUGGAACUUGGUUCCUCGAAUAACUUCUGGCACAGACAUCUGAGGGCAUGGCUGUCCAAGAAGAAAAUGUAGCCAUUGGUGCCAUCUAUCGACCACAGGUUAAAGAUUGGCGAUUCGUUGGAUACCGACCGAGUUAUAGGCAAAACUUGGUGCAAAAAUGAGGAAAAUUUUCAUAUUUUUUUGAAUUUUUUGAAUUUUUUAUUAUUUUUCACAUUUUUUUUAUUUCAAGCAUUAUUAGAGUGAAAAGAAACUCAUUGCAACCCAUUGGCAUUAAAAUAAAACAAUUUAAUUUUUUUUUGCAAAAUUUCCCAAAAAAAUCGUAAGGGGUAAGCCUUAUGAAAUUUUCGAGAGGAAAUUUUUUUUGAAAUUUUUUUCUGAUUUUUUAUUCUUUUUUUAAUUUAAAGCACUAUUUAAGUGAAAAGAAACUUAUUGCAACAAAUUCCCAUCAAAAUAUAUCACAUUUAAAAUUUUUGCUACAUUGCUCAAAACUGAGGAAAAUUUUACAUUUUCUCAAACAGGGUAAGGAACUUGGUUCCUCGAAUAACUUCUGGCACAGACAUCUAAGGGCAUGACCGUCCAAGAAGAAAAUGUAGCCAUUGGUGCCAUCUAUCGACCACAGGUUAAAGUUUGGCGAUCCGUUGGAUACCGACUGAGUUAUAGGCAAAACUUGGUGCAAAAAUGAAGAAAAUUUUACAUUUUCUCAAACAGGGUAUGGAACUUGGUUCCUCGAAUAACUUCUGGCACAGACAUCUGAGGGCAUGGCUGUCCAAGAAGAAAAUGUAGCCAUUGGUGCCAUCUAUCGACCACAGGUUAAAGAUUGGCGAUUUGUUGGAUACCGACCGAGUUAUAGGCAAAACUUGGUGCAAAA